rnacentral:rRNA from 1 species
CACGUAGGGCGCAAGCGUUGUCCGGAAUUAUUGGGCGUAAAGCGCGCGCAGGCGGCUUCUUAAGUCUGAUGUGAAAUCUCGGGGCUCAACCCCGAGCGGCCAUUGGAAACUGGGAAGCUUGAGUACAGAAGAGGAGAGUGGAAUUCCACGUGUAGCGGUGAAAUGCGUAGAUAUGUGGAGGAACACCAGUGGCGAAGGCGACUCUCUGGGACGGUACUGACGGCUGAGACGCG